rnacentral:rRNA from 1 species
UAGACCCUACGGGGGGCAGCAGUGGGAAUAUUGCACAAUGGGCGCAAGCCUGAUGCAGCGACGCCGCGUGAGGGAUGACGGCCUUCGGGUUGUAAAACUCUGUUAGCAGGGAAGAAGAGAGAUUGACGGUACCUGCAGAGAAAGCGCCGGCUAACUACGUGCCAGCAGCCGCGGUAAUACGUAGGGCGCGAGCGUUGUCCGGAAUUAUUGGGCGUAAAGCGAGCGCAGGCGGUUUGAUACGUCUGAAGUUAAAGG